rnacentral:lncRNA from 1 species
GUUGAUCUUGGGAAAAAGUGGAUACCUUGUAGAGAACUGAAGCUGUAACAACUAAUCGAUAAAAUAGCAAUGCAACAGCAAAAUCUAUCCAUCCAUCAGGAGAAAAAAUGAGAAGGAACAGAUGAGCAUAUGAUUUUAACAAACAACCACAGCUAUAGGCAGUUUCACUAUAGCACAGACUGUCACUAUGGUGCCUCUACUCCAACUCUUUUUUCUAAUGCCUCUAAUUAAGCCAAUCACAAAUCAUGUCCAUGGAAACUCUCUUUAUUCUCCAACCUCUCAUUCAAAUCACAGCCUGUUUUCUCAGACUUACAUGCUUGUCAGAAAAACUGACCACAGAUUGGCAGCCAAUUCUGCGUUAGAAACUGUGAGACCAUUUCUCCAUGGCUUCUAUCAGAAAAGUGUCUUUAAAUCAAGCGGAGAUUCAAACAAAUGGACUGAAAGCAGGAAUACUGAGGACACACUGUCAGAAAAAACAUCACAUACUGACAGAACUGGGUCAAGAGGUCUAUUUUUAUUAUCACAAAAACACAGAGUCAAAAGAGGUCCUACCCAAAAUGCUAUAACACCACAAGAUGCUGCUGGAAAAGAGAAGGAGACUGCUGAUGAGACAGAAUCAAUGACAGAAGAACCAGUCACUGAAUGGGAAGAAAAAGACUUGUCAACAGUUGGGUCAGGUGAUAUGUUAAUACCCAGAGAAACUGGCUUUGUUGGAUCAUCAACAGAGGCAAUAACAUCUCUUGAUAAAAAGCAUACCCAUUACAGACUGCAAAUUCAGACUGCUUAUAGUGUGCUGGCUACAGUACAAACAAAUCCAACAAUCAAUCUUUCACUUGGGAUCAGUCCUUCUGCAACUUCACCACCUAAUGAAAAGCCUGUAUCCACUUCCAGUAGGACUAGUCAAUUAGACACCAACAGGACUGAACUGGAAAUAGGUAGGUUGGGGAUAACCACUCCACAUAAAAUUCAGUCAAGGCAGUUUACCACUUUACAGUCACAUACUGAAGCCACCUCUCUUAGGACAAGCACAACCAAUCUACAACUAGAGGCACCAUCACUGGGAGUGGACAUCAUUACUUCCAACAAUUCACAACUAAAAAGCACUUCACACUCAGCAAAAUCAGCAAAAAUACCCAAUGACCAGUCAAAGGAGCCAGGAACGAAAGGAACAGUGACCGAUAUAAAGAACACUAAAGGUAUGAUUUGUCUGAAUAAAGAAAAUAAAAAAAUGUUUCAUUUGAAUAUAAUAACUUUUGUAACAAAAUGUAACAUUUUUAAUAUAUUUAUUUAUGUACUUAUCAGAGUCAGAGACAUACUUAAAAAUUAUACUUAUAAGUAUACCUGGCUUAUUCUGACAAGUAUACAGAAAGUAUACUUGGCCUAUACUUGUAUUUUUUAAACAAGAUAUACUUAAGAAAAGUAUAAUUUAGUAUUCUGAGUACACCUGGUUAUUAAACAUUUUUUUCCACACAUAUGUGACCCUGGACCACAAAACCAGUCUUAAGUAGCAUGGUAUAUUUGUAGCAAUAGCCAACAAUACAUUGUAUGGGUCAAAAAUAAAGAUUUUUCUUUUAUGCCAAAAAUCAAUAGGAUAUUAAGUGAAGAUCAUGUUCCAUGACAAUAUUUUCAGAAUCCGAAUCAGAAUUUGUAAAUUUCCUACCGCAAAUAUAUCAAAACUUAAUUUCUGAUUAGUAAUAUGCAUUGCUAAGAACUUCAUUUGGACAAAUUUAAAGGCGAUUUUCUCAAUAGUUUGAUUUUUUAUUUGUUUUUGAAUAGAUUUUCAAAUAGUUGUAUCAUGGCCAAAUAUUGUCCUAUCCUAACAAACCAUACAUCAAUGGAAAGCUUAUUUAUUCUGUAUUAAUUGAGAUAUACAAUAAAAAAAAACAAAAAACUAAGACACUUAUGUAAAACUUACAUGUCAGCUUUGUGGUGGAAUAUUUAUUAAUUUAACUUAAGUAAAGUUCAAGUAUAUUUUACUUUAAGUAGUAAGUAUACUAAUAUUAGAAGCCUAUGUGUUCUAUUUUAAUGUUUCUUGAGAGUAAAUUGGCUUAAAGUGUAACAGUAGUAAACUUUACAUUUUACAUUUUAAAAUGAAAAUUGUGUCAUUGUGCAAAUAUAUAGACCUAUCUAUGUGUGCAAAUAUAUAGACCUAUCUGUUUGUGUAUAUAUAUACAGUAUAUAAUGUUAAAUAACUGACUUAAAGUCAGUUUAGCUGCUGAAAAUACUAGUGUUUUAAUAAUUUUGACCACUGUAUAUUGUUUACUAUUUUACAUAUUAUUUUUGCACUAUAAGUAUGCAGUGAAAAUAGUAUAAAUUUUGAAUAGUAAAAUCUGAGUUAAAAAAAACAAAACAAAAAAAACAACAUUUAUUUGCCAAUAACAAUGACAGAUAACAUUUUUCAUACAUCUGCAUUCAGUGUCUGCAUUGUAAGUUCAUUAAUAGUUCAUUAAAAUUGCAUAUAACCUAUACAGUAUAUAGUACCAAUUAACUCUCCAGUGUGCAUUGGUAGUGUUACCUUAUGUGCUAGGAACAGAUGUUUGGGAGAUGAGUGAUACUUGUUAAUAUGUUGUCUGUUAAUGUUACUGGCUUAUGGAUAAUUUUACUGAACACAUUUUCCAAACUGGUUGGCAUGUUCUUCCUGUUUCCUUUGGUUUCCCCCCACAAUCCAUAUACAUGCAGGAUAGGUGUCUUUAGGUGUGAAUGUGUGUGUCUGGUAUUGUGACCUAGUGAGUAAUAGCUUAUUAGAAAAAGAAAAAAAUAAAAUAAAAAUAAAAAAAUCCACAUGGGACAGAAGAGAGGAUUCAGUCAUAUCACAGGGAGGGGCAAGUUAUGACUAUUUGAAUUAAAGAUUACACAAUACUAAAAGUUUUUCGGUCCCUAUUGUACUUUUUUUUUUAUAUAUACUAUGGAAGUCAGUGGGGACAGCAACUGUUUGGUUACCCAUAUUCUUCUGUUCAACAGAAGAAAGAAUUUUGAACAGGGUUGGAACAACAUGAGACUGAGUGAAUGAUUACAAAAUUCCUUUAAAUGUAUGUGAGCCACCAUUCCUUUAAAUGUACAGUCAUGGCCAAAAAUAUCGGCACCCUUGGUAAAUAUGACCAUAGGCGGCUGUGAAAAUUAAUCUGCAUUGUUAAACCUUUUGAUCUUUUAUUUAACAAAAUCACAAAAAUCUAACCUUUCAUUGGAUAAUAAGAAUUUAAAAUGGGGAGAAAUAUCAUUAUGAAAUAAAUGUUUUUCUCAAAUAUACAUUGGACACAAUUAUUGGCAUCCCUAGAAAUUCUUAUGAGUAAAAUAUCUCUGAAGUAUAUUCCCAUUCAUAUUCACAAUUUUAAGCACUCCAGGGUGAUUAUGAAUAUGAAAUUAUCCAGCCAUGGCUUCCUGUUUCACAUUUGGAACAACAUGAGACUGAGUGAAUGAUUACAAAAUUCCUUUAAAUGUAUGUGAGCCACCAUUCCUUUAAAUGUACAGUCAUGGCCAAAAAUAUCGGCACCCUUGGUAAAUAUGACCAUAGGCGGCUGUGAAAAUUAAUCUGCAUUGUUAAACCUUUUGAUCUUUUAUUUAACAAAAUCACAAAAAUCUAACCUUUCAUUGGAUAAUAAGAAUUUAAAAUGGGGAGAAAUAUCAUUAUGAAAUAAAUGUUUUUCUCAAAUAUACAUUGGACACAAUUAUUGGCAUCCCUAGAAAUUCUUAUGAGUAAAAUAUCUCUGAAGUAUAUUCCCAUUCAUAUUCACAAUUUUAAGCACUCCAGGGUGAUUAUGAAUAUGAAAUUAUCCAGCCAUGGCUUCCUGUUUCACAUAAAUAUAAAUAGGAGGGAAAACAAAGCCCAAAUCCCCUUAAUCAUCCAUUACAAUGAGAAAAACCAAAGAAUAUAUUUCUGAUGUGCAGCAAAAGAUUAUUGAGCUCCACAAAUUAGUGAAGUGGCUUUAAGAAAAAAACUAGAACAGUGAAAAUUCCCAUUUCCUCCAUCAGGGCAAUAAUUAAAAAUUUCCAAUCAACAGAAAAUGUUACGAAACUGCCUGGAAGAGGAUGUGUGUCUGUAUUGUCCUAAUGCACAGUGAAAAGGAGAGUUUGAGUGGCUAAAGACUCUACAAGGACCACAGCUGGAGAAUUGCAGAAAAUAGUCUCAGGGUCAAGAAAACAGCA